rnacentral:rRNA from 1 species
GACGAACGCUGGCGGCGUGCUUAACACAUGCAAGUCGAACGGAAAGGCCCUGCUUUUGUGGGGUGCUCGAGUGGCGAACGGGUGAGUAACACGUGAGUAACCUGCCCUGACUUUGGGAUAACUUCAGGAAACUGGGGCUAAUACCGGAUAGGAGCUCCUGCUGCCUGGUGGGGGUUGGAAAGUUUCGGCGGUUGGGGAUGGACUCGCGGCUUAUCAGCUUGUUGGUGGGGUAGUGGCUUACCAAGGCUUUGACGGGUAGCCGGCCUGGGAGGGUGACCGGCCACAUUGGGACUGGGAUACGGCCCAGAUUCCUCCGGGGGGCAGCGGUGGGGAAUAUGGCACAAUGGGCGGAAGCCGGAUGCGGCAACGCCGCGUGCGGGAUGACGGCCUUCGGGUUGUAACCGCUUUCGCCUGUGACGAAGCGUGAGUGACGGUAAUGGGUAAAGAAGCACCGGCUAACUACGUG